AUCAAAAGCUUUAAGGAAAGCUCUUUGUUUUUUGAAAGGGUGCUUUUAUGAGAUAGAGAUUUUUUAGAUAAUGCUGGGGAAGGUUUUCCGGUUUAUCUCGGAGGGCUUGUAGCUCAGUUGGUUAGAGCGCGCGCUUGAUAAGCGUGAGGUCGGAGGUUCAAGUCCUCCCAGGCCCACCAAUUUACCUAUCCUUUUGCCUUUAUCUGUUUAUUUGCCGAUUUAUCGGUCCAUUGAAUUUAAGUGUUGGUAGCAGUUUUAUAAUGAUGAGAAAUCACGCUUAUAAAAGAACUCCUUAUAAAAGGCUUGUUUUUAAAAUGUGACGCUUAUCCAUUUCGCUUAGGCAAGAGAAACUUCAAGCGGUUCAAAUACAAAAGGCUUUUAGCUUUGCAAAACACUUUGAAUUUUGCAAAACACUUUGAAUUUUAAAGUGAUCCAAGUUUGUGAUCUCGAAUUUAAAAGUUUCGAAUGCUUUAUCCUUUUUUGGGGGCCGUAGCUCA
rnacentral:misc_RNA from 1 species